rnacentral:piRNA from 1 species
UGAGUUGCCAUCUUGUCUUUCAUGAGUCCU